rnacentral:lncRNA from 1 species
AGCAGCAGUAGUAGCAACAACAGUAGUAUCAACAACAACAGCAACAACAUCAACAACAGCAGCAACAGCAACAGCAACAGCAACAGCAAUAACAGUGGGAAAAGCAAAGAAGCAAGAGGGUCUUCCAUCAACUUCUGGAGGGGAGCCAGGAACAACGGCAAGAGCUCGUAAUGGGGACUUUAUGAUAUUCCUCUGACCAACAACUUCAAACCACGGCCUCAUUCCUGGCACUUUGACUACCUCUGCUGUCCCAGAGGACAUCGAAAUUCUUUUUUAUACAUGUUUAUGUUUUAUGAAGUUUCCACAGUAGCAUGAUUCCACAUAUUUUCCCCAAAGGUCUCUAGUGUUAGCUAUCCUUCCAUAUACUCCCAAAGGUGGGUAUUUUAAAUAAAA